rnacentral:rRNA from 1 species
GAUGAACGCUGGCGGCGUGCUUAACACAUGCAAGGUCGAACGGAGAAAGGGUAGCUUGCUAUCUUUUCUUAGUGGCGGACGGGUGAGUAACGCGUGGGUAACCUGCCCUUUGCAGGGGGAUAACAGUGAGAAAUCACUGCUAAUACCGCAUACCAACUUCUUUCGCAUGAAAGAAGUUUGAAAGAUUUAUCGGCAAAGGAUGGACCCGCGUUGGAUUAGCUAGUUGGUGAGAUAACAGCCCACCAAGGCAACGAUCCAUAGCCGGCCUGAGAGGGUGAACGGCCACACUGGGACUGAGACACGGCCCAGACUCCUACGGGAGGCAGCAGUGGGGAAUAUUGCACAAUGGGCGAAAGCCUGAUGCAGCGACGCCGCGUGAAGGAUGAAGGUCUUCGGAUUGUAAACUUCUAUCAGCAGGGAAGAAAGGGCCUAUGGCCUAUGACGGUACCUGACUAAGAAGCCCCGGCUAACUACGUG